GUAGGAGUUUGGUAAAGCUUGUGGCCGGAACCAGUGUGCUUCUGUAUUCAAACAGCUCCUAAUUAUUAUGCUCUUUAAAAAUAUGAAUAAAACAUAACAAAUUCACAUCUGAUAAGGCUGGAAAUGCAAAGAGCAGCAACCAAGGACCUGGGGGUUGAGGAUUUGCUCACCAUGAGAUCAACACUGGCUGAAAAGAAUUGCCAGCCUUUCAAACAAUGUUUGCUCGGUUUUGGAUGAAAACCAAGGACAGAUGGCUUCAUAUGUUACUGGAAUGAGUAAUACGGUGAAUUUGUGGUUGGUGGGAGGAGCUGGCUUGGCAGUUGGAUUCUGAUGUCCUCAUCCAUCAAAAGAAAGAGUACAGUAUGCGCAUCAACAGUGCAUACUUCUUUAAAUUAGUAUUAAAUUUAUUCUCGAGGAGCCAUCUCUCAAGGUGAAGGGUGUCCCCGUUGCUUGCUAUUUACCUUUCCUCAGAUCUGAAGAACAAGGGGACAGCAAAUGAAAAUUUAAAGCAACCAGGUUGAAACUGAUGAAAAGGACUCACUCUUAUAGUCAACUUAAUAAUGCUUAAUCUGUGGAACUCCCUGCCACAAGAUGGUAUGAAGACCAAGAACAUAGCAAGAUUCAGAAAAGAGUUAACACUUUUCUUGAUAAUAAUAACAUAAAAAUAUGCAACCCUCUUGCAUCAGAAUAUAAAUCUACCAAAGCACCUGGUACUGCCACAUUUCCCCAAUAGGAAGAGAGGCUCUGAAUUUUAUUUCUGUUCCAUUUACUAAAUGAAAGGAAUUAAA